rnacentral:rRNA from 1 species
UACGGGGGGGGGCAAGCGUUGUUCGGAAUUACUGGGCGUAAAGGGCUCGUAGGCGGCCAACUAAGUCGGAUGUGAAAUCCCCAGGCUCAACCUGGGAACUGCAUCCGAUACUGGAUGGCUUGAAUCCGGGAGAGGGAUGCGGAAUUCCAGGUGUAGCGGUGAAAUGCGUAGAUAUCUGGAGGAACACCGGUGGCGAAGGCGGCAUCCUGGACCGGUAUUGACGCUGAGGCGCGAAAGCCAGGGGAGCAAACGGG